rnacentral:rRNA from 1 species
AGAGUUUGAUCAUGGCUCAGGAUAAACGCUGGCGGCGUGCCUAACACAUGCAAGUCGAACGCCCCAUCGCAAGAUGGGAGUGGCGGACGGGUGAGGAACACGUGGGAAUCUGCCCUGGGGUGAGGAAUACCGGCGAGAAAUCGCCGACAAUACCGCAUAGGUUUCGCGAGAAACAAAGUCGCAAGACGCCCGAGGAUGAG